GCGGAAGUGGUGAAAUCGGCAGACACGCAGGAUUUAGGUUCCUGUGCCUUCGGGCGUGUGGGUUCAAGUCCCACCUUCCGCAC
rnacentral:tRNA from 1 species